CAGUAGCCGCGGGAAUACGUAGGUGGCAAGCGUUGUCCGGAAUUAUUGGGCGUAAAGGGCUCGCAGGCGGUUUCUUAAGUCUGAUGUGAAAGCCCCCGGCUCAACCGGGGAGGGUCAUUGGAAACUGGGAAACUUGAGUGCAGAAGAGGAGAGUGGAAUUCCACGUGUAGCGGUGAAAUGCGUAGAGAUGUGGAGGAACACCAGUGGCGAAGGCGACUCUCUGGUCUGUAUCUGACGCUGAGGAGCGAAAGCGUGGGGAGCGAACAGGAUUAGAUACCCCGCGUAGUCCCUGUCUCUUAUA
rnacentral:rRNA from 1 species